rnacentral:rRNA from 1 species
UACGGAGGGUGCAAGCGUUAUCCGGAAUCACUGGGCGUAAAGGGCGCGUAGGUGGUCUGUUAAGUCUGGCGUUAAAGCCUGGGGCUCAACCCCAGAUCAGCGUUGGAUACUGGCGGGCUAGACGGUUGGAGAGGCGAGUGGAAUUGCCAGUGUAGCGGUGGAAUGCGUAGAUACUGGUAGGAACACCCAUUGCGAAGGCAGCUCGCUGGACAACACGUGACACUGAGGCGCGAAAGUGUGGGGAGCAAACCGGAUUAGAUACCCCU